UGCGUAGGUGGCGUAUUAAGUUGGAUGUGAAAUACCCGAGCUUAACUUGGGGGUGCAUCCAAUACUGGUAGGCUAGAGUGCAGGAGAGGGAAGCGGAAUUCCUAGUGUAGCGGUGAAAUGCGUAGAUAUUAGGAGGAACACCAGUGGCGAAGGCGGCUUUCUGGACUGUAACUGACACUGAGGCACGAAAGCGUGGGGAGCAAACA
rnacentral:rRNA from 1 species